rnacentral:rRNA from 1 species
GACGAACGCUGGCGGCGUGCUUAACACAUGCAAGUCGAACGGAAAGGCCCUGCUUUUGUGGGGUGCUCGAGUGGCGAACGGGUGAGUAACACGUGAGUAACCUGCCCUUGACUUUGGGAUAACUUCAGGAAACUGGGGCUAAUACCGGAUAGGAGCUCCUGCUGCAUGGUGGGGGUUGGUAAGUUUCGGCGGUUGGGGAUGGACUCGCGGCUUAUCAGCUUGUUGGUGGGGUAGUGGCUUACCAAGGCUUUGACGGGUAGCCGGCCUGAGAGGGUUACCGGCCACAUUGGGACUGAGAUACGGCCCAGACUCCUACGGGAGGCAGCAGUGGGGAAUAUUGCACAAUGGGCGGAAGCCUGAUGCAGCAACGCCGCGUGCGGGAUGACGGCCUUCGGGUUGUAAACCGAUUUCGCAUGUGACGAAGCGUGAGUGACGGUAAUGGGUAAAGAAGCACCGGCUAACUACGUG